GUCACUCAGAACUGUUUUAACCAUUUUUGUUUCAGAUUUUUAUCUGGUGAUCAUUACAGGCUCAAAACUCCAAAAGCUCUGCAGCUGCACUUUGGUUUUCACAAAAACACUCCCCCUUCACUUCUCAGAAAUGAUCAUUCAGAGAGAAAAUGGUGGUCUCAGACCACAAACACAUUUAUGUGCAUGUCCUUACCUACCUCCUAUCAUUGGUGACUACUACACUAUCAUCACGGUACAUCAAAAAUAAGAAGACUCAAAUACUGGUGGUCAAGGAGUUCUUCUACAGAAGAGCCGCACUUUGCAAACAUUGAACUGACAGUCUUCACACAUUCAACUUCCUCUUCUACUGCUGAUCAAAACACAACAUGUACUGUUAUUAUUCCUGUGCAGCACUUCAGAUAAGAGACUCUGUGAAAUGCAAAACACAUAAAAAUGAAAAUGCUAAAGCUUUCCACUCAUUUUAUGUGAUUUUAUAUCUACUUUAAGGCAGGAGUAGAGACAUUAAAAGCUACAAAUGUAUGAAUUUACCAACAGACACAGGAGAGGAAAGAACUGAUGUCACUAUGAGGAAGUGAUCAGGAAGUUGAUGCUGUAUUCAUCUCUGAGACUGUCUCAUUUGUGAACGUGAGAGCAAGAACAGAGACUGAGAGAGACAGAGAAGCACGAUGGCUGCAUUCACAUGGAUUCAAAUGUCUUCUUUACUGAUACUGAUGCUUCAGUUUAAAGGAACAGCUGAGCAAUAUUCACCUGUUUACGCUGUCAGAGCUGAACAUGAUGUUACUCUGCCUUGUAAAAAUUUGAUACAUGAUCAGCAUAAAUGUAAAAGUACUACCUGGCUGUUCAGUGAUUCAGGAAGCACAACAAUAAUCUUUGAAAAUGGGCAGAUUCACAAAGAUACCCAGACUAAAUCAGACAGACUGAAUGUUAAAAAGAAAAACUGUUCUCUGGUUAUAAAGAAGGUCUCAGUUGAGGAUGUUGGUCGUUACACCUGCAGACAGUUCAACAAAUCAGGACAACAACAAGGUCCAGACAUUCAGGCUGAUCUGACUGUUAUCAGCAUCACUGAACAUGAGAACCAUGGCGACGUCAUGUUGAACUGCUCUGUAUUUGCCUAUGGACACUGUGGGCACAAAGUGGAGUGGCUGUAUGAGGAUGAAAAGAAAAUAUCAGACAUGAAGAUCUCGGCAGGUCACUGCACUUCUACUGUGACAUUUACAAGAUCUGACCUGUCCAAGUUCUCUAAGCUGUUAAAGUGUCAUGUAACAGAUACUUCCACCAAAAAUGUGACAAUCUUUCCCUUCAAACCUCAAAAGUCUUCGGAUAAAGAUGCAAAUAAGACCAAAUCCACAAUGGCAUCAACUUCCACCACAACAGCAAAUUUAAUGCCAACACUGAAAACAUUAUCAUCAACAAUAUCAUCAAUAAAAUCAUCAAAAUUGUCGACAGCAGGAUCAUUAACAUCAAUGAACGUAAAGACGUCAGCAGUGACACCGGUGUAUCAGAAAGCAUCUGAAAAUCAGUUAUGGUUUAUUAUUGUUCCUGUGGGAUUAGCAGGACUCUUAAUAACUGCUGUGGUAGUCACCAGAUGGAAGAAAAAUGCAGAAAACCAGAAACUUCUGUCUGACAGCACUGAUGAAGCUGAGAAUGAUGUUUCAUACGUCACCAUCAGCUUCACCAAGAAGGCCCAAAACAAAGCCCAGGCACGUUGUGGUGAUGAUGAAGGUGACACUGUGACCUACAGCACUGUGAAAGCUUCCUCUUCAUCUGCUGGCGGUUUUACAGAUUCAAGCAACCUUUAUUCCACCAUUAAUAAACUAAAGAAAGAAAAUAAAUAG
ensembl:lncRNA